GAUGAACGCUAGCGAUAGGCUUAACACAUGCAAGUCGAGGGGCAGCAUGGUCUUAGCUUGCUAAGACUGAUGGCGACCGGCGCACGGGUGCGUAACGCGUAUGCAACUUGCCUCACAGAGGGGGAUAACCCGUCGAAAGACGGACUAAUACCGCGUACACUUGGGAUAGGGCAUCCUGACCCAAGGAAAUGAAAUUCGCUGUGAGAUAGGCGUGCGUCCCAUUAGCUAGUUGGUGAGGUAACGGCUCACCAAGGCGACGAUGGGUAGGGGAACUGAGAGGUUGAACCCCCACACUGGUACUGAGACACGGACCAGACUCCUACGGGAGGCAGCAGUGAGGAAUAUUGGUCAAUGGGCGAGAGCCUGAACCAGCCAAGUCGCGUGAAGGAUGACUGUCUUAUGGAUUGUAAACUUCUUUUAUACGGGAAUAACAAGAGCCACGUGUGGCUCCCUGCAUGUACCGUAUGAAUAAGCAUCGGCUAACUCCGUG
rnacentral:rRNA from 1 species